CAUUUCACCUGAUGGACGGUGUGGAUCUGGUUCAUGUUUGUUCCACGUAGCUCGUAGUUAGUGCAAGUCAGGGCCAUCCGCGUGCCUCGCGGGUCAGGCUAGCUCAGUCCAGACCUACACUGCUACUUGGUUCUUUCUUCGCACUCUCUCCCUCUGUAACCUCUCGCUCUCCCUCCCUCUCUCUCUCUCUCUCCGGACUCGUUUCUCAUAUUUCUGCUUGUUUGGCAGAUGGGUGGCUGUGAUUGAUUCAGUGGGUUUUGUUGCUUCUAUUGUUUCUGAUGGGAAUCCGGUGUCAUCAGAGUUAUCAGAUGUUUGGAGUUUCUGAAUACUGUGGAAGCAAGAUAGGUGAGGGAGCAUUGAGUGUAGUGCAAGCCCAAGUGAGAAAAUAGAAAUUCUUUAACUGAUAGAUAGGUUCCUAUAUAUAUGAUUGACAUGUUAUGACUUCAAGCUCAUUUGUGCUUAUUUGACUAUUUGGAAGUUGGAAAUAUUUGGGGAGGACAGUUCCUCUACAGCUGUUGUAGAUGACAAUUUUGUGCAACUAGCUUUGUGUGGGGCCCACAGUAGCAUGUGUACAGAAUCCAACCUGUCCAGCAGGGUCUCCCUACCAUGAAAAUGGGUGGCCCCAAAAUCAGGCCAAUCUAAUAAUCAGGUGAGACAGACCGUAGAAAACAACGGACAACCACCCAAAAACCUCUAAAUUCAUGUGGCGACCAAACCGAUUAUUUGAUUGUCCUGAUUUGAAGGGUCCCAUUUUGUUGUAGAGGAACUGGCCGCAUAUUUUAGGUGUUA